rnacentral:misc_RNA from 1 species
AGAAAGUUGCUGUUGAAUCCGGAUCCUGGUGUGGCCUUGAGUCGUCUGGGAAGGUUGUUAUAAUACUAACACAUAUUGAGUACUUUACUUCAUUACCUCGGCCUCUAGUGUACAGUUAUACCGGGUGACUGUUGACUGUAUUACUGUUAGUUAUCCUGAAUUACCAACAGUCAUGAUACCCACAGGUGGUAGCCGGUCAUCUCCACUUAUUGUGGUGGUUUUACUCGUAAUAGUCCUCAUCUUGGGCUUUAAUUACUGGUCAUUAUCUUCACAACAUAUCAACGCACAACAUAAACUAGAAAAAUUACAAGAAGAGAUUAAAAGAAGUGCCAUGAAGCAGGAACAGUCGGACAACAAGAACGCAGCGCUACAAAAAAAGGUACAUGAAAUGGACGGUUUAUCUGUCAAGUUAAAAAAGAAAUUAGAAGAAGAGGAAAACUUACUGAAAAACAAGGAACAGGAUGACAGCAAGAAAACUUAUGAGAUAACUGACUUGAAGAACAAACUGAUCAAGAUGCAAGAAUGCAUUGCGAAGGAUGAAGCAGCAGCGGUGCAGCGAGAGAAGAUGGCCGUAGCUCAGCCUAACAUAGCCCACGGUCCCAUGAACUUACCUAAUAUUGAAAACAGAGGUGGUUGUAAAAGUCGCAACUAUGGUCAUGGCAGUAUUGUGUGUGUGUGUGAUACCUCCCACUGUGACACUUUCCCACCAGUGCAGCUGCCUGAUGCUGGUGAGGCUCUGAUUGUGACCUCCAGUAAGGCAGGACUACGAUGGCAACUCUCAACUGGAAUAUUUUUAGAACAUGGCAAUGUGAUACAGCCUUCUUUGGAAGUUGAGGUAGACAGCAGUGUGGAAUACCAGAAGAUCAUUGGCUUUGGAGGAGCUUUCACUGAUGCUAGUGGUGUGAAUAUUUUGAGUCUGCCAAAAACAAUGCAGGAUAUGAUAUUGAAAGCUUAUUAUUCUGUGGAUGGCCUCGAGUACAACCUGGGUCGUGUACCUAUUGGUGGCACUGAUUUUAGCACCCACCCAUACACAUACGAUGACCUGAAGGAUGGGGACAUUGAUAUGGAUCUCUCUCACUUCUCACUUGCCGACGAAGAUUUGAAGUACAAGAUCCCGCUGAUACACAGAGCAUUAAACUUGUCCUCAACUCCUCUCAAACUAUUUGGCUCGGCCUGGGGUGCUCCAGCCUGGAUGAAAGACAACAACAAUAUUUCAGGCAAGGGCAAGUUACUGCUCAAGAUGUACUCCACCUGGGCAGACUACCAUGUGAGAUUUAUUAAGAGUUAUGGAGAACACAAUAUCACCUUCUGGGGACUCACUACACAAAAUGAACCAACUGAUGGCCUGGGAGGUUUAGUAAAUUUUAAUGCCGUUGGAUGGACUUCAGAAGAUCAGGCAAAAUGGAUCGGGCAGCACUUCGGUCCAGCUCUGCACAACAACAGCCUUGGUCACCUCACGGUCAUGAUAUUGGAUGACAACCGCUUCCUCCUUCCAAAGUGGGUGGAUGAUAUCAUGAUAGACGGUGAUGCAGCUCCAUAUGUUUCUGGUGUGGCCAUCCAUUGGUACAGUGACUGGUUGACCCCUACCCUCACCCUUGACCUGACACAUGAACGUCACCCAGAGCUUUUCUUGCUCUAUACCGAGGCGUGUACAGGACAGUGGCCAUGGGAGCCGCUCAAGGUGGUGCUGGGGUCCUGGACCAGGGCCGAGGAUUAUGCUGUUGACAUAAUAGAGAACCUGGAACACUGGGUGUCAGGCUGGACUGACUGGAACUUAGCUCUGGAUGUGAAAGGUGGACCGAACUGGAUUAAGAACUUUGUUGAUUCACCGAUUAUUAUCAAUGCACCUAAGGGAGAGUUCUACAAGCAGCCCAUGUACUAUGCCCUGGCUCACUUCACCAAGUUCCUGCCCGAGGGGAGUCGACGUGUGGCAUUACAGUCUACUUAUACAGGAGGGACAACAUCCUCCCUUAGUCACACUGCAUUUGUCCGUCCAGAUAACACGACAGUGCUUGUGUUUCUGAACAAGGGUCAUGAUGCUAUGACAGCAAGAAUCUCAGACAAGAGGGUUGGUCAGCUGAACCUCACAGUAGAGCCUCACACCAUCAUCACAAUGGCGUGGAAGGUGUAGUCAGUCUGCACUGUAUGCCAUUCGUACCUGAACCUUGUGAAAAUUAUCUUUUGGAAAAUGAACCAGUGAUAUUUGAGAUAUUUAUGUCGGUGAGUUAGUCGGCCCCGUUGUUAGUCGUGGUCAUCAGGAAUGCAUGCUUGACAAACAAAGAGAUGCCCAGUAAUUUCAAAAUUCCGUAAAUGCAGGGAAUGCCUACAUUUUUCACAUGUUCAAGAAAGGUGAGCUAUAUAGUCUAUGUAACUAAAGUUUUACAGUACUGUACAGUGUAAUGAAUUUUCAAAACAAAUGGAGGAAUAAAUACGAGUGAAUGAGGAGGAAAAUGUGUUGCUCAUGAUUCUGGCCAGAGUAAAAAACAACAACAACAACAACAACAACAACAACUAAUAACAGUAUCAGCUUCAUUGAGUGAGGCUAAGACAGACAUGUGCAGUAUGAUGGAGUUGGCGACACAGUGGUAACUCGCAUCUCUCACUAGUACGUCAUGGGUUCAAGUACUGCUUGGCCCGGACGCAUGAGAGAAGGUUGUUAUUCAGUACAGUAUGACAUUACCAAAUAUUACUGGUUCCCUUCAGGUACUAACACUGGACAAAUAAAAUUCACAACAAAGUAACAAAGAACGAACAAACUGCUCGCACGUUUACAGUUGAUAAGUGGUGAAAUGAUAAUUGACAAUACAGUAUGCAAAACAUUUCUCUAAAACACUGACAAAGCAAAAUAUUACUAGAGGUUCAGGAAAUUAUCCAUGGACUUCAGUAAACAAGUGUGAUAGUAAAGUGAUAUUGUACAGGAUGCUUAUGACUGUGAUCGAGGACACCAGUGCAAUGAUGCUGAUGAAUAUUGACAGCUUGUGAUCAUCAGCCAGUUAUAUAUUCCUUUAUUUCAUUGUAGUAUGGAACAGUCUGGAUAUAUUAACCAAGAAGGAAAUAUUAUUCUCUCUCUGGAUGUUCUUUUAUAUAGAGUAAAGAAAUAUGGCUUCUGCCUUAACCCAUUGUAUAGUGGGAUCAGUCUGUGAUGAUUAAAAUUGCCUUGUGUUAACUAAAUAAAAUAUUAAAAGUGGCAUCCCAGUAAAGAAUAAGUUAGUAGAGACAGUUGAUUAACUCCUUGUGUAGUGGGGUGUGUCUGUGCUGAAUAAAAUAUCAAAAGUGUCGUCCCGGUAGUGAUGGGGUUAAUCCUGUAGAGUAGAUGAUGUUAAUAUUUUUCUUUUAAGUUAUAUGAAAUAUAUAUUAGAGUAGUUGUUGAGUAUAGUGAUCCCUGCAUCAUAUGGUUAAGUGAGAAAGAUCUCUUACUUGUGAAUAAACUUUUCAUUUUCAUUUAUGUUUUUUUGAAUAAUUUGUUAUUAAGUUACCAGAUAUGUUAUUUAUUUUUUGAGGAAUUUAAAGAGGAUAUGGAUGAGGUGAGUGAGACAUCAUCCACCUCAUCUGCCUUUCCUCUUAAUUUUCAGUAAAGAUCAGAAAAAAAUAUUCAAGGCAAUUAAUUUUCAUAAAUAAAAAUGAAAACUUAAUUCAUUAAUAAUUUUAUUGUUAAGGCAUCACUAUACUUUACUAUUACUUGUACGGUACAGUAUACAGUAUUAUUUAUCUUACUCAUGUUCACUUAGGUAUUUACCAUGCUAGUUACCAACAGUAUAGUACAGUACUUGUAUAUGAGGUACAGUAAUCAAGUCUUUCUCCUAAUUUUGUUAGUGUCCUAAGAAUUGCAAAAAUCAAGUACUGUGCAGUACUGUACACUUAUUAACCCUUAACCCUCUGUGUGUAUAUAAGUCUGUAGGUCUCUCUGUGCUGAAUAUAAUAAUCUGGCAUUAGUCAAAUAAAAUAUUACAGGCAGCUUCUCUAUAGUGAAGAGGUUAAGUGGUGGCCUUUAUCAGUGGUAUGUUUCAUGUUCCUUUGUUCCAUUUUUGCACACGUGGGGGUGGAGUAUGGAAUCCUUACCCGCUGUUUCAAGGUUAAUAGUCGGUCAAAAGGUAACGCCUUACUACCGCAAAAUAUACUGGUGCUCGGUGAAUUAAAAUAGAGAAUCUAUUCUUAUAUGUAUUCUUGUGCUGUCACCAUUGUUAUAAGUCUUUUGUGAGUGCUGUAUGGAACAGCACACUGCAAUAUGUGAUAAAUUUGUGCAAUCCUUUUAGAAUAAGUACAAACUCAGUUACAGUA